rnacentral:rRNA from 1 species
UACGUAGGGGGCAAGCGUUGUCCGGAUUUAUUGGGCGUAAAGAGCGUGUAGGCGGCCUGAAAGGUCAGCUGUGAAAACUCGAGGCUCAACCUCGAGACGUCGGUUGAAACCAUCUGGCUAGAGUCCGGAAGAGGAGAGUGGAAUUCCCGGUGUAGCGGUGAAAUGCGCAGAUAUCGGGAAGAACACCCGUGGCGAAAGCGGCUCACUGGACCACAACUGACGCUGAUGCGCGAAAGCUAGGGGAGCAAACAGG